GUGUACGUACAAGCAGUGGGAGCACAGAGCAAUCUGUGUGACUGCGUACCUUUUGUAUAAUGGGUCAGCGACUUAUAUUCUGUAGCAAGGUUAACCGAAUAGGGGAGCCGAAGGGAAACCGAGUCUUAACUGGGCGUUAAGUUGCAGGGUAUAGACCCGAAACCCGGUGAUCUAGCCAUGGGCAGGUUGAAGGUUGGGUAACACUAACUGGAGGACCGAACCGACUAAUGUUGAAAAAUUAGCGGAUGACUUGUGGCUGGGGGUGAAAGGCCAAUCAAACCGGGAGAUAGCUGGUUCUCCCCGAAAGCUAUUUAGGUAGCGCCUCGUGAAUUCAUCUCCGGGGGUAGAGCACUGUUUCGGCAAGGGGGUCAUCCCGACUUACCAACCCGAUGCAAACUGCGAAUACCGGAGAAUGUUAUCACGGGAGACACACGGCGGGUGCUAACGUCCGUCGUGAAGAGGGAAACAACCCAGACCGCCAGCUAAGGUCCCAAAGUCAUGGUUAAGUGGGAAACGAUGUGGGAAGGCCCAGACAGCCAGGAUGUUGGCUUAGAAGCAGCCAUCAUUUAAAGAAAGCGUAAUAGCUCACUGGUCGAGUCGGCCUGCGCGGAAGAUGUAACGGGGCUAAACCAUGCACCGAAGCUGCGGCAGCGACACUGUGUGUUGUUGGGUAGGGGAGCGUUCUGUAAGCCUGUGAAGGUGUGCUGUGAGGCAUGCUGGAGGUAUCAGAAGUGCGAAUGCUGACAUAAGUAACGAUAAAGCGGGUGAAAAGCCCGCUCGCCGGAAGACCAAGGGUUCCUGUCCAACGUUAAUCGGGGCAGGGUGAGUCGACCCCUAAGGCGAGGCCGAAAGGCGUAGUCGAUGGGAAACAGGUUAAUAUUCCUGUACUUGGUGUUACUGCGAAGGGGGGACGGAGAAGGCUAUGUUGGCCGGGCGACGGUUGUCCCGGUUUAAGCGUGUAGGCUGGUUUUCCAGGCAAAUCCGGAAAAUCAAGGCUGAGGCGUGAUGACGAGGCACUACGGUGCUGAAGCAACAAAUGCCCUGCUUCCAGGAAAAGCCUCUAAGCAUCAGGUAACAUCAAAUCGUACCCCAAACCGACACAGGUGGUCAGGUAGAGAAUACCAAGGCGCUUGAGAGAACUCGGGUGAAGGAACUAGGCAAAAUGGUGCCGUAACUUCGGGAGAAGGCACGCUGAUAUGUAGGUGAAGUCCCUCGCGGAUGGAGCUGAAAUCAGUCGAAGAUACCAGCUGGCUGCAACUGUUUAUUAAAAACACAGCACUGUGCAAACACGAAAGUGGACGUAUACGGUGUGACGCCUGCCCGGUGCCGGAAGGUUAAUUGAUGGGGUCAGCGCAAGCGAAGCUCUUGAUCGAAGCCCCGGUAAACGGCGGCCGUAACUAUAACGGUCCUAAGGUAGCGAAAUUCCUUGUCGGGUAAGUUCCGACCUGCACGAAUGGCGUAAUGAUGGCCAGGCUGUCUCCACCCGAGACUCAGUGAAAUUGAACUCGCUGUGAAGAUGCAGUGUACCCGCGGCAAGACGGAAAGACCCCGUGAACCUUUACUAUAGCUUGACACUGAACAUUGAGCCUUGAUGUGUAGGAUAGGUGGGAGGCUUUGAAGUGUGGACGCCAGUCUGCAUGGAGCCGACCUUGAAAUACCACCCUUUAAUGUUUGAUGUUCUAACGUGGACCCGUGAUCCGGGUUGCGGACAGUGUCUGGUGGGUAGUUUGACUGGGGCGGUCUCCUCCUAAAGAGUAACGGAGGAGCACGAAGGUUGGCUAAUCCUGGUCGGACAUCAGGAGGUUAGUGCAAUGGCAUAAGCCAGCUUGACUGCGAGCGUGACGGCGCGAGCAGGUGCGAAAGCAGGUCAUAGUGAUCCGGUGGUUCUGAAUGGAAGGGCCAUCGCUCAACGGAUAAAAGGUACUCCGGGGAUAACAGGCUGAUACCGCCCAAGAGUUCAUAUCGACGGCGGUGUUUGGCACCUCGAUGUCGGCUCAUCACAUCCUGGGGCUGAAGUAGGUCCCAAGGGUAUGGCUGUUCGCCAUUUAAAGUGGUACGCGAGCUGGGUUUAGAACGUCGUGAGACAGUUCGGUCCCUAUCUGCCGUGGGCGCUGGAGAACUGAGGGGGGCUGCUCCUAGUACGAGAGGACCGGAGUGGACGCAUCACUGGUGUUCGGGUUGUCAUGCCAAUGGCACUGCCCGGUAGCUAAAUGCGGAAGAGAUAAGUGCUGAAAGCAUCUAAGCACGAAACUUGCCCCGAGAUGAGUUCUCCCUGACCCUUUAAGGGUCCUGAAGGAACGUUGAAGACGACGACGUUGAUAGGCCGGGUGUGUAAGCGCAGCGAUGCGUUGAGCUAACCGGUACUAAUGAACCGUGAGGCUUAACCUUACAACGCCGAAGGUGUUU
rnacentral:rRNA from 1 species